rnacentral:sRNA from 1 species
CGUUUUACAACUUUUUCAAUUAAUUGUGUUUUACCUGCACCUACAGGACCACCAAUACCAAUUUUAAUC